GCAACCUUGUAGUAUUCUUUCAUAUCCAAACCAAUCCAAUCUUCAAUCCAACAGUGGCUAUAAUAUUAUUUAUUUGAAAAAAAUCACUUCAUGAAAUUACCACCGUUGCUCUCUAUUAAAUUUCAGAUUUGAUACAAAAAUUAUAAAUACAGGUUUGACUGUCACUCUUGAUUUUCUUUAACAGAUUUCAAUUUCAUUCACUGAGUUCUGCACCAGAAUACCACUUUGUUAUUAUUAUUACUUUUGUAUUUACAUUCUGCAAAAGCCACCUCCAUAUCCUCGAGGCUAAAUGAAUUGCUUUGAUUCAGAUGUUUUAGUUUCUAAAUAACUUGCAUAUCCACUCUCACAUACACACAUACACACAAUUGAAGUGAUAAAAGGUUAAGAAAUACGUAACUGGACUUCAAGCGUUUGUGAAUCUCGCCGCAGCAACUUCACAUCUCCAGUGCGAAGCGCUUGAAUCACUUGCUCGCAUGACACAAGCAAACACAAAAGUUAGUAUCACAUUAGAUCAUGAGAGUAUCCUGAAUCAUGUUGUA
rnacentral:lncRNA from 1 species